GUGGUGACUGGUCUCCGCUGCAGGGGAGAGGUGGCUCCAUCCAGGCAGCACUGUCUCUGGAGCAGAGCAGUGACAUCAUCACCAGUCUGCACCUGGUGCUGGAGGGGCUCAAUGGCCAGCUGCCAAACCUGGACCUGGCCAACCUCUUCUAAGCCUUCUGCCAGAAUAUGGUAUACCUGUGUACCAUCCAGGGAAAGCUCCAGAGGAAUGACGUUGGGCUACAGCUACGCGGCCCAGACCAUGAUGCUGUUGAAGCAGGCCAGCGGGCGGCCCUGGGGGAACCACGGCCCAUUCCUUAGAUACCACAUAGAGGCUGUGUUAUGAAUCUUAUGAAUAAUGACUAAAUGAUGUAUACAUUUAACGUAGAACUAUAACUAACAGAAUUCUACCCUGUCAUUGUAUGAUUGUAUGACAUUUAUUUAUCAUACAACUAUAAAUCUGAUGUGUGUGGUUUUGGUCAGAAUUGGAACGGGGACUUUUUGUUCCUUUUUGGUACGUAGGCAGGGUGCAAGUGUGAAACAAAUGAUAAGAGGAGCUAUCCACAGACAAACUAUACUACUGUGUUCCUUACAGGACAUUCUGUCCUCACCCAGGGAGGGGAGAGACCUUGGGCUUGUAGUAGAUUGUAUAACAGGUGGCAGACAAUGUAUGAGAAGGAGAAGACUUGUAAACUAUAUUGUCAUUGUCUCGGAGAGGAGGGACAUUUAUGACAAAAUGUGAGGUAUAUAGACCAAUGUACAGGAAAUGAUUAGCAGAGCUCUCGUAAAUAAACAUUCAUGACUAUUGUAGA